rnacentral:misc_RNA from 1 species
UUUUUUACAACUAGCAAGUGAGAAGAAAAUAAAUCAGUAUAAAUUUUAUCAAGAAACAAGACUAUAUACCUUCUUUAUCCUCCCAACAAAUUCAUCAAUAAUACAACAAUAUGCAUAGAUUAAUCGAGGCGUUGACUCGGUAAAAUUUUGUAAAUAAAUGAUACAAUUAUAACUUAAAGGGUUAAGACUUAAGGGUGUAGUCAGUAAGGAAAACCAAUGUUCUAUGCUCCAUUUACAGUCAUAAUCUACUUAAGGUCAAGAAAUAUAAUUCCUCAUUUCUUUAUAUAUCUAGACUACUAACUGUUUCCCUCGUCGCCAAGAGACUGAACUACUGAAGAGUGGUUGC